AGAACGAACGCUGGCGGCAUGCCUAACACAUGCAAGUCGAACGUGAUCCGGGCUUCGGCCUGGUGAAAGUGGCAGACGGGUGAGUAACGCGUGGGAACCUGCCCUGUGGUAGGGAAUAACCGCGGGAAACUGCGGCUAAUACCCUAUGUGUCCUGAGGGACAAAGAUUUAUCGCCAUAGGAGGGGCCCGCGUCGGAUUAGGUAGUUGGUGGGGUAACGGCCUACCAAGCCAUCGAUCCGUAGCUGGUCUGAGAGGAUGAUCAGCCACACUGGGACUGAGAUACGGCCCAGACUCCUACGGGAGGCAGCAGUGGGGAAUAUUGGACAAUGGGGGCAACCCUGAUCCAGCAAUGCCGCGUGGGUGAUGAAGGCCUUCGGGUUGUAAAGCCCUUUCGGCGGGGAAGAUGAUGACGGUACCCGCAGAAGAAGCCCCGGCUAACUUCGUGCCAGCAGCCGCGGUAAUACGAAGGGGGCUAGCGUUGUUCGGAAUUACUGGGCGUAAAGGGCGCGUAGGCUGUGCUGCAAGUCAGGCGUGAAAGGCCCGGGCUCAACCUGGGAACUGCGCAUGAUACUGCGGCGCUUGAAGACGGGAGAGGAUGGCGGAAUUCCCAGUGUAGAGGUGAAAUUCGUAGAUAUUGGGAAGAACACCGAUGGCGAAGGCGGCCAUCUGGCCCGUGAUUGACGCUGAGGCGCGAAAGCGUGGGGAGCAAACAGGAUUAGAUACCCUGGUAGUCCACGCCGUAAACGAUGAGUGCUAGACGUCGGGGAGCUUGCUCUUCGGUGUCGCCGCUAACGCAUUAAGCACUCCGCCUGGGGAGUACGGUCGCAAGAUUA
rnacentral:rRNA from 1 species